GCCUUCUUUCUCCCCAAAACCCCCAAAAACCUGCAUAGGCUCUCACUCACUCAACCCUAAUCAGUUAGGGAUGAUUCUUCCUUUUUCAGCCAUCUUCAGUUGCUGGCUGCUGCUAUGGCCUACGUUCCUUUAGCUCCAAGUACUUUGCUUAGAAUCUUGCUUCUCUCUCCCACACGUCAUUCAAUUUAGGAAAUGCCUCCUUUAUCUAGAAAUCGUUUGUGACAACGCUCUUCUAACAAGGCACUACGUGAGCUGGUUAUGGAACUGGCUGAGGAAAGGAGGUCAAAGUCCAAGCCUACCGCAGAGACAACUUCCUCUAUGAGCAAGAGAAUCUCUCAGAAUAAACCUCCUACGUAUUCGGGGACUUCUUCGUACUUCUUCGGGCCUCUUUCUCUCUCAACAAAGCCUAGCUGGUGCUUUGCAGUAUCUUACAUUCACCCGACCAGAUAUUUCAUAUGCUGUUCAGCAGGUUUGUCUUUAUAUGCAUGAUCCUCGAAUUGAACAUAUGGCUGCUAUUCACCGCAUUCUUCGCUAUGUCAAAGGCACUAUUCACUAUGGUCUGUAGUUAUAUCGUUCUAAUAUUUCAACUCUUUUGUCUUAUACCGAUGCUGAUUGGGGUGGCUGUCCUGACACUCGCCGCUCCACUUCUGGUUACUGUGUUCUUCUGGGUGAUGAUUUAAUUUCAUGGUCCGCUAAACGACAACCUAAUGUUUCCAAAUCUAGUGCUGAGGCUGAAUAUCGUGGUGUUGCUAAUGCUGUUUCUGAAACUUGUUGGAUUCGCAAUUUACUUCUUGAGCUACACUGUCCUAUUUCUACAGCUACUCUUGUCUAUUGUGACAAUGUUAGUGCCGUAUAUUUAGCUGGUAAUCCCGUCCAUCAUCAGCGCACUAAGCAUAUUGAGAUCGACAUUCACUUUGUUCGGAAAAAAGUAAAACGUGGUGAUGUUCGGGUGCUUUAUUUUCCAACUUGUUAUCAGAUUGCUGACAUUUUCACCAAAGGCCUUCCUCAAAUAUUAUUCGAUGAUUUUCGUUCCAGUCUCAGCGUCUCUAAACCUCCCGAUUCGACUGCGAGGGUGUCUUAGAAUAUAUUAGAAUAAUAUC